ensembl:snRNA U6 U6 spliceosomal RNA
GUGCUUGCUUCAGCAGCAUAUAUACUGAAAUUGGAAUGAUACGGAGACAAUUAGCAUGGCCCCUGUGCAUGGAUAACACACAAAUUUGUGAGGCAUUUCAUAUUAAG